rnacentral:rRNA from 1 species
UACGGAGGGGGCUAGCGUUGUUCGGAAUUACUGGGCGUAAAGCGCACGUAGGCGGAUUGGAAAGUCAGGGGUGAAAUCCCGGGGCUCAACCCCGGAACUGCCUUUGAAACUCCCAGUCUAGAGGUCGAGAGAGGUGAGUGGAAUUCCGAGUGUAGAGGUGAAAUUCGUAGAUAUUCGGAGGAACACCAGUGGCGAAGGCGGCUCACUGGCUCGAUUCUGACGCUGAGGUGCGAAAGCGUCGGGAGCAAACAGG